rnacentral:tRNA from 1 species
UACCCGGUAGUGUAAUGGUAGCACAGCAGGUUUUGGUCCUGCUUGUCGAGGUUCGAGUCCUCGCCGGGUAG